UGGCCCAUCAGGACGCUGCCCACGGAGUUGGGAGGGAGGGUUCGGGGUCCAGGCUGCCCCUGGGAAUCUCCACCUGCAGACCCCAAGCACCUGGAUGCAGCCCUCGGCUGGAGCAGGCUUAUGUUUAAGCUUUUCAAACCUUGCUAAAGAAAGACCAGCAGCCACCUGAAGGGACAACUGCCGCAGCACCCUACAGUGAGUGCCCAGUGGAUGCCUGAACAUUCACACACCCUCCUGGCUUCCCGCCCCCAUGCUGACAUCGCCAAUCCCUGAGUGGUGACUUCUGAGGCCAUUCCCCAAAGAAACGCCUUGCCCUUGACUCUCGUUCCAAAGAUCUCUCCUGCAGAAUCCUGCCUUCACCCGAUGACAGAUCCAACCAGCUUGCACAGGACACCAGGAGGCUGGUGUCCGGAUGCUUCUGGACCCAGCACAGGCCAGGCACAGAGCCUGCUGUUACCAAAAGACAGAAGAUAAAGCCGAUGUCACAAAGUGGAGAGUCUUCUUCAUAGAAAUUUCUAGCUGAUACUUUCUCUUAAGGAAAGCAGAUGCAAGACAAAAACUAGAGAUUCCCGAGGGGAUCCCACAUGCCUUUCCCAUGGUUUCCAGGGACGCCUAGAAAGAUACUGAGCCACCAGGCCCUCCUGCCACCUUGCCAUUAGCCCCGCUUGCUGGGGGCAUGAGGAGAGUAAGGGGGACAUUUCUGGGGAGCGGGAAUAAGGAGUGUCUGGGGGAGAUGCAGGAGGAGAGAGCCCUGGAGAACUUCAGCAAGAAGUGAGAAGCCCGAGGCCAGGCCUGCAGCGCCAGAGCACCGCGGAGGGAGGAGAGGCCUUCUUACUUUAUAAGAGACAUUGUGGGGAAUAAGGCGGAUUUCCUUACAUAUUUUUUGAGAGACUAUGAAGGAUGGGAAUGCUUUCAUUAUUUGGGGGUGUGCUCUGCAUUUCUCGAUUGAAAACCCCGAGACUGGACAUCUGCUCUGGUUCAUAUCUGGUUGUGUUUAGUAGGGGUCCAGUCAGACCGUGUGGCUGGAUUAAAAUAAUAAUGAU